UCGAUUGGCGGACGGGUGAGUAAUAUAUAGGUAAUGUGCCCUAGAGAAGAGGAUAACAGUUGGAAACGACUGCUAAUACUCUAUAUGCCUUUAAGACAAAAGUCUGCAAGGGAAAUAUUUAUAGCUCUAGGAUCGGCCUGUACGGUAUCAGCUAGUUGGUGAGGUAAUGGCUCACCGAGGCAAUGACGCCUAACUGGUUUGAGAGAAUGAUCAGUCACACUGGAACUGAGACACGGUCCAGACUCCUACGGGAGGCAGCAGUGGGGAAUAUUGCACAAUGGGGGAAACCCUGAUGCAGCAACGCCGCGUGGAGGAUGACACAUUUCGGUGCGUAAACUCCUUUUAUAUAGGAAGAUAAUGACGGUACUAUAUGAAUAAGCGCCGGCUAACUCCGUGCCAGCAGCCGCGGUAAUACGGAGGGCGCAAGCGUUACUCGGAAUCACUGGGCGUAAAGAGCGUGUAGGCGGGUUAAUAAGUUUGAAGUGAAAUCCUAUGGCUCAACCAUAGAACUGCUUUGAAAACUGUUAACCUAGAAUAUGGGAGAGGUAGAUGGAAUUUCUGGUGUAGGGGUAAAAUCCGUAGAGAUCAGAAGGAAUACCGAUUGCGAAGGCGAUCUGGAACAUUAUUGACGCUGAGACGCGAAAGCGUGGGGAGCAAACAGGAUUAGAUACCCUGGUAGUCCACGCCCUAAACGAUGUACACUAGUUGUUGUGAGGCUAGACCUUGCAGUAAUGCAGUAAACACAUUAAGU
rnacentral:rRNA from 1 species